rnacentral:rRNA from 1 species
UACGGGGGGGGCAAGCGUUGUUCGGAAUUACUGGGCGUAAAGGGUUUGUAGGUGGCUUGUUAAGUCAGACGUGAAAUCCCUCAGCUUAACUGGGGAACUGCGUCUGAUACUGGCGAGCUUGAGUGCAGGAGAGGAACGCGGAAUUCCUGGUGUAGCGGUGAAAUGCGCAGAUAUCAGGAGGAACACCGGUGGCGAAGGCGGGUCUCUGGGCCGUAACUGACGCUGAGGAGCGAAAGCGUGGGGAGCGAACAGG